AGGACGAACGCUGGCGGCGUGCUUAACACAUGCAAGUGGAGCGACGAACCAGGGCUUGCCCUGGGGCAGAGCCGCGAACGGGUGAGUAACACGUGGGUUACCUGCCUCGAUGACCGGGACAACCCGAGGAAACUCGGGCUAAUACCGGAUGUGCCCGCAAGGGGAAAGGAAGCUUCGGCCUCCGCAUCGAGAUGGGCCCGCGGCCCAUUAGCUUGUUGGUGAGGUAACGGCUCACCAAGGCUUCGAUGGGUAGCUGGUCUGAGAGGACGAUCAGCCACACUGGGACUGAGACACGGCCCAGACUCCUACGGGAGGCAGCAGUGGGGAAUCUUGCGCAAUGCGCGAAAGCGUGACGCAGCAACGCCGCGUGGGGGAAGAAGGCUUUCGGGUCGUAAACCCCUUUCAGUUGGGACGAAGCUUCGGCGGUGAAUAGCCGUUCGGAGUGACGGUACCUUCACAAGAAGCACCGGCUAACUACGUGCCAGCAGCCGCGGU
rnacentral:rRNA from 1 species